rnacentral:rRNA from 1 species
CAAAAACAUCGCCUUCUGCAAAAAUAGAAGGUCUAGCCUGCCCAGUGACCAAGUUAAACGGCCGCGGUACCCUAACCGUGCGAAGGUAGCGCAAUCACUUGUUCUUUAAAUGAGGACUAGUAUGAACGGCAUCACGAGGGUUACACUGUCUCCCACCUCUAAUCAGUGAAACUGAUCCCCCCGUGAAGAAGCGGGGAUAAACUUAUAAGACGAGAAGACCCCAUGGAGCUUUAAACUCAGUACCAAUCACCUAUAACCACACCACAAUAACCCGGUGAUCCUGAUUACUAGUUUUAGGUUGGGGUGACCACGGAGCAUAAUUAAACCUCCAUGUUGAAAAACUUCCUCUAAUCCAAGAGUGACAACUCUAAGAAUCAAAAACCGACAUACAUUGACCCAAAUAUUUUGAUCAACGAACCAAGUUACCCUAGGGAUA